rnacentral:rRNA from 1 species
GAUGAACGCUGGUGGCGUGCCUAAUACAUGCAAGUCGAGCGAACGGACGAGAAGCUUGCUUUUCUGAUGUUAGCGGCGGACGGGUGAGUAACACGUGGAUAACCUACCUAUAAGACUGGGAUAACUUCGGGAAACCGGAGCUAAUACCGGAUAAUAUUUUGAACCGCAUGGUUCAAAAGUGAAAGACGGUCUUGCCGUCACUUAUAGAUGGAUCCGCGCUGCAUUAGCUAGUUGGUAAGGUAACGGCUUACCAAGGCAACGAUGCAUAGCCGACCUGAGAGGGUGAUCGGCCACACUGGAACUGAGACACGGUCCAGACUCCUACGGGAGGCAGCAGUAGGGAAUCUUCCGCAAUGGGCGAAAGCCUGACGGAGCAACGCCGCGUGAGUGAUGAAGGUCUUCGGAUCGUAAAACUCUAUUAUUAGGGAAGAACAUAUGUGUAAGUAACUGUGCACAUCUUGACGGUACCUAAUCAGAAAGCCACGGCUAACUACGUG